GAUGAAGAACGUAGCGAAAUGCGAUAAGUAAUGUGAAUUGCAGAAUUCAGUGAAUCAUCGAAUCUUUGAACGUACAUUGCGCCCAUUAGUAUUCUAGUGGGCAUGCCUGUUCGAGCGUCAUUAAUUCCACUUAAGCCCUGCUUAGUGUUGGGAAACUACUCUAGUGGUGCUACCCUGGAGCUACCCCUGAAAGGGGGCUGGCCCGGUAGCUACCCUGUAGUUCCUCAAAGAUAGUGCGCGGAGUUGCGUGGUCCUCUGAGCUUAGUAACUAUACACCUAGCUUUUGAGUGUCCCGCGGCGCCUGCCGUUUAAACCCCAUCUUUUAAUGGUUGACCUCGGAUCAGGUAGGAAUACCCGCUGAACUUAAGCAUAUCAAUAAGCGGAGGA
rnacentral:misc_RNA from 1 species